GGCGGCGUAGCCUAACACAUGCAGUCGAGCGAGGAGAUCCUUCGGGAUGAUCCUAGCGGCGGACGGGUGGAGUAACGACGUGGGCAACCUGCCUCAUAGAGAGGAAUAGCCUUCCGAAAGGGAGAUUAAUACCUCAUAACAUUGCAGUUUCGCAUGGAACAGCAAUUAAAGGAGUAAUCCGCUAUGAGAUGGGCCCGCGGCGCAUUAGCUAGUUGGUGAGGUAACGGCUCACCAAGGCGACGAUGCGUAGCCGACCUGAGAGGGUGAUCGGCCACAUUGGGACUGAGACACGGCCCAGACUCCUACGGGAGGCAGCAGUGGGGAAUAUUGCACAAUGGGGGAAACCCUGAUGCCAGCAACGCCGCGUGAGUGAUGACGGCCUUCGGGUUGUAAAGCUCUGUCUUCAGGGACGAUAAUGACGGUACCUGAGGAGGAAGCCACGGCUAACUACGUGCCAGCCGCCGC
rnacentral:rRNA from 1 species